GGACAGAGUCUCAGGUUAAGACAAGCGGAGUAUAAAAAGCAGAGCAAGGUGAUUUUUUUUACUGACAUGGCAGAUUGGUGGAGUAUUUGUGGUAAGAUUUUGAAGCUUGUUCGAUCCCUUGUGGCAAUUUGCACAACUUGCUCUUGCUCGUCAUUAGCAGCGUAUUACGUAAGUCGCGUCAAUUCGUCGAUGCUAAUUACAGGACCAUGCAUGAACUGGAGGGGAGUACAUACUGUAUAUCACACCUAGCUAUACAGAGGAGAUGGACUCGCUAGUCCGUGCUCGGUAGUAGUAGUUCUAAUCACGGACUCUAAUUAAUCCCGCAUUCAGACAACGCCUAUCGAAGGUUCGGGACAAGGACGGUUGCUCUCCUCCUGCCGCUGCCGCCGCCGCCGCCGCUGCUGCUGUGGGCGCUGGGCGAGCCAGCGGGGACCUGGGUGUCGUCGGCAUCGGAGUCCUCCUCAGCGAUGGGGUCGAGGCAGCCCGCGGCAGCACGACGGAGCCGCAGCCGCUGCAGCCGCAUGACUUGAAGGGUCCCCGGCGGGGCCACCUCGUCCGGCGCGAAGCGGACGACGGCGCAGGUUCUCGCGGCGGAGGCCAUGGAUCGGCAAUGGGUGGUAUCUCGUAGCUUGGAUCAAGCGCUUGCUUGUUUGCUCACUGUGUUUGUGCGCUGGGUGGCG
rnacentral:rRNA from 1 species